GAUUUGCGUGAGGGAUUGAGGCGAUAUCCUUUUUAGGGCGUUUUAGCCCAAAAAAGAUAAAGCCGAAAGCCCGGUCGCUU
rfam:Flavobacterium micromati strain DSM 17659 genome assembly, contig: Ga0131131_102